rnacentral:tRNA from 1 species
GGGGAUGUGGCGGAAUUGGCAGACGCGCACGGUUCAGGGCCGUGUGGUGGCGACACCAUGAGAGUUCGACUCUCUCCAUCCCCA